rnacentral:rRNA from 1 species
GUGAACGCUGGCGGUAGGCCUAACACAUGCAAGUCGAACGGCAGCACAGUAAGAGCUUGCUCUUACGGGUGGCGAGUGGCGGACGGGUGAGGAAUACAUCGGAAUCUACUUUUUCGUGGGGGAUAACGUAGGGAAACUUACGCUAAUAUCGCAUACGACCUACGGGUGAAAGCAGGGGAUCUUCGGACCUUGCGCGAUUGAAUGAGCCGAUGUCGGAUUAGCUAGUUGGCGGGGUAAAGGCCCACCAAGGCGACGAUCCGUAGCUGGUCUGAGAGGAUGAUCAGCCACACUGGAACUGAGACACGGUCCAGACUCCUACGGGAGGCAGCAGUGGGGAAUAUUGGACAAUGGGCGCAAGCCUGAUCCAGCCAUACCGCGUGGGUGAAGAAGGCCUUCGGGUUGUAAAGCCCUUUUGUUGGGAAAGAAAAGCAGCAGGUUAAUACCCCGCUGUUCUGACGGUACCCAAAGAAUAAGCACCGGCUAACUUCGUG